rnacentral:rRNA from 1 species
CCUACGGGAGGCAGCAGUGGGGAAUAUUGGACAAUGGACGAGAGCCUGAAGCAGCGAAGCAGCGUGAGGGAUGACAGCCCUAGGGGUUGUAAACCCCUUUUAUAUGGGAGUAAAACAGGGUACGCAUACCAUCAGGUAUGUACCAUAUGAAUAAGGAACGGCUAACUACGUGCCAGCAGCCGCCGUAAUACGGAGGAGCCGUGCGUUAUCCGGAUUUAUUGGGUUUAAAGGGCGCGUAGGGGGAGUGUUAAGUCAGGUGUGAAAGUGGGCGGCUCAACCGUAAAAGUGCAGUUGAAACUGGCAGACUUGAGUACAGGAGAGGUAGGCGGAAUUCGUGGUGUAGCGGUGAAAUGCGUAGAUAUCACGAAGAACACCGGUGGCGAAGGCGGCUCCCUGGACUGCAACUGACGCUGAUGCUCGAAAGCGUGGGUAGCAAACAGGAUUAGAUACCCUAGUAGUC